GGGAGGGGUGCAAGCGUUGUUCGGAAUUACUGGGCGUAAAGAGCGUGUAGGCGGCUAUGUAAGUCUGGGUGUGAAAGCCCGGGGCUUAACCCCGGAAGUGCAUUGGAUACUGCAUAGCUAGAGGACGAGAGAGGGAAGUGGAAUUCCUGGUGUAGGGGUGAAAUCCGUAGAUAUCAGGAGGAACAUCGGAAGCGAAGGCGGCUUCCUGGCUCGUUUCUGACGCUGAGACGCGAAAGCGUGGGUAGCAAACAGGAUUAGAUACCCUGGUAGUCCACGCCCUAAACGAUGGAUACUAGUCGUCGGGAUUCCUAAUAGUCUCGGUGGCGAAGCUAACGCGUUAAGUAUCCCGCCUGGGGAUUACGGUCGCAAGACUA
rnacentral:rRNA from 1 species